CUUCCUACGGGGGGCAGCAGUGGGGAAUAUUGCACAAUGGGGGAAACCCUGAUGCAGCGACGCCGCGUGAGUGAAGAAGUAUUUCGGUAUGUAAAGCUCUAUCAGCAGGGAAGAAGAAAGACGGUACCUGACUAAGAAGCCCCGGCUAACUACGUGCCAGCAGCCGCGGUAAUACGUAGGGGGCAAGCGUUAUCCGGAUUUACUGGGUGUAAAGGGAGCGUAGACGGAGAAGCAAGUCUGAAGUGAAAGCCCGUGGCUUAACCACGGGACUGCUUUGGAAACUGUUUGACUA
rnacentral:rRNA from 1 species